GUAAGUGUUAUGUGGCUUGAAGCCAAAUUUAAACUUGGGUCCUUCUGACUUCAGGGCCAGUGCUUUAUGCACUUCCACACCUAGAUGCCCCUAGACUGCCUCUUUAAAAAAAAAAAAUCCUCUGCCUUCAGGGGCAAAGGAAAGAUGGGCAUCAAGUGCCAUAGGAAGGUUGAGAGGGAGAAGUCAUCUUUGGGUGAGGGCAAAGGGGAAUCAGAGGCAGCUUCAUGAAAGGAAUGAAAUAAACAUUUUAUUAAGCAUCUAUUCUGACAGUCACUGCUCAGUGCUUUACAACUAUCUCAUUUGAUCCCCACAGACACCCUGGGAAGUAGGUGCUAUUAUCCUCAUCUCACAGAUGACAAAAUAGCCUGAAAGGUUAGGUGAUUGCCCAGGAUUAUAAAGCAAAUCUGAGGUUGGGUUUGGACUCAGGUUUUCCAUAAUCCAAGUUCAACACUAUCCACUUUAUUAUUAGCUGCCUCAGACUUGGAAGCAGGUCUCUGGACAUGAGGAAAUUUACCAAGUUGAGGGAGUAGAAUGAUACUGGGAACAAACCAAUUCUCUUUUAGGUGAGAAUGUGUAAAGCUGAGCAAAGUAAAAUAAGGCUAGAGAGACAAAUUGGAACCUCAAG